GGGCCAUAGCUCCAUGGCAAAGCAUCUGCUUUGCAUGCAGAAGGUCCCUGGUUCGAUCCCUGGCAUCUCCA